UUUGCGUCUGUUAAAGGCAAAAAGCAAUGAGGUUCUUCAGGGAGCAGGAAACUUGAUGAAUUUACAAGAUUUUUGAGGAGAACUGCUUUUACCCUGGGGAUGGUAGGCUGAGUAUACAGAAUGCUGUUCUCCACACUUCCAUAAGCAAAGGAUCCCUAGCACAAGAAAGACAUGGAGCUGUUGGAGCAAAUCCUGAGGCGGGCCACAAAGACAAUCAGAAGGCUGGAGCACCGCCCCUGUGAAGAGAGGCUGAGGGAGCUAAGCUUGUACCCCUUUGUAUUUCUUGCAGUUUCCAUUGCUUGUGGUAUUACUUUUGCCGCAAACCUCAUAGAAUGCAAUUUCCAAAUAUGAUGAGUAUGAUUAUUUCCUGUAUCAGAUCAUAGAUGCAGGAAUCAGGGCCAAAAUCUCUCUCCUUCAGCUUACCUGUUGUUAGGGCUGGCAAUUAUGUGUUUGCUAAAAAUUUUGUGGUGGAAGGUAAAGAAAAGUGCCAUGCUCCUCUCAGUGACACUAUGCAUGAUGUCAACAUGAUGGAAGUAUGUGACUUGCUUAUUCAUAUUGUACCUUGGCUUUCUGCUAAUUAGACACUUUUCUAAAUUCAUGGUCAUUGACCUCUCACAACCAUACUGAAAUUUCAGUGAAAUAGCCAGCAGCUAUUUAUUUUUCAAUCACACAAAUCUCUAAACAUACAAAAGAUGAGGAUCAGAAACAACUUGGAACAGAAGCUGAAGUAAAAUAGCAAGAAACCCAGACUUAAAUAUCUGAAGAAAUGGAUCUGUGCUUUUGUAACUAGAAGGAAAUGUUCUAGUUCAGAAUUUUCCCUGAACCGCUAACGCUUAGAAUAACAUUCUUAUGCUUUUUUUUUUUUGUCUUUACUAUAUGAUACACUUGUGAGAAGUCUAUGCUGUCUUUGCCAUGCUUUUUCUUUCUCUGAAUAGAGAAAGGGCUAUAGCAUAUAGAAAAGGUGUAUGCUGCAGCUACCAAGACUUGUUUUAUUUGUUUAAAUCAUCUCUACUUGUUUGUUUCCUUGAAGCUUUUCACUGGGAGAAAGUUGCGCAGUUGACAUGUUCCUACAUAUGCCAAUUAGAAUCUUCAAGCCCACACUUCUUUCUUUUCCUCUCUUUUUUUUUUUUUUUUUUUUUUUUUUUAUUUGAACAGAUUUUUCUGCCUGGAAGCUUCCUCAUGGGCCUGGGAGGCAGAUUACACUUUUCUCCAUGGGAUGCAUCCAGCUGGCUGCAGGAGAUCUGGAUCUUAUCGUUAUUUCUGCUACUAACCUACUUUGGGCAAGCUGCUUCCUUUCUCUGUGCCUUUGUGCCCUUGGUCACCAACUGAGAUUAGAAAUGGUUCAAGGAAAAGCAUGUCUGUAAAAAUUACAAUGAGUUUGUGCAAUACUUUUAGCACAGUGGGGUUCCUCAGUCAGUGAUGGCCUUAAACUAUUGCUAAAGGACAAACAUGAGUAAGAUCCCUACAGCUGCUUUUGAUCCACAUCUCUCAGUGCCUCUUCCAUCUCAUUCCUUAUCAUCCUUUAAUCCCUUUAUCUUCUCAUUUUUGUUGUUUCCUUUUGUCCAUACCAGCUUAUGGAGGUUUUAAUAUGCUUUCCUUCCCAACAGCUCUGAAUCCCUGAGCCGACGUUGACAUAUUCUCACACUGAAAAGCUUCCCUUAAAAACUGCAGUGUCACUGGAAUGGGAGCCCAGAUAAGUACCUGCCUAUACCAAAGAGAGUGAAGCCAGGUCACAGCCAGAAAGUACAUGAGGCCACAAAGAAGCAAAGAUUUUAGCUACAUGUUCAG
ensembl:lncRNA